CGUACCCAAGACUAGUCUCGUGGUCGAAUGCUCGCAGUUUUUAUAUGUUGAGUUUGUAGGAGUUGAGGGGCAAGGAGAGUAUCCUGGCUGCCCUAUGUAAUGGGGAACACUUGGUGUUGAACCAUGUGCAAAGGAUACAGUAGAUACGAUGGAAAUCUAAUAAACAAAGCGGAAAAAAGCAAUAUGACCGUUUUCGCUAUCAACGGAAUUUCAUUGCUAAAUUAAGGAUCUCUUAAUUAGAGAAGAAUGGAAGGCAACGGAGCAUAAAGCUGUCGAGCAAGCACAAUUUCUCUAGGCGAUAUUAAAACGACGCCUAAUAUCCUGGACGGCUUGAUAUUAAGAGGAUGACGAAGGUGAAUCCCAAAGGAAAGCUGAAAUGGGGUGAAGAAAGGGAUCGUAAGCCGCUUACGGUUUCACGAUGUCACGAAACGAACGAGCCACCAACUGCUUGUCGUUUUAGCAGCACGCAUAAACCGCACUCUACGUAGCUAGGAUUUACAGAUCUAGAAGAUUCUUGAAAUUAGACCAAAUCGCGUAUACGCCUUCCAUGAUGCACGGAUUAACUUGUUUUCCUACAAACAUAAAUUUCCUCCAAAUUGCCAAAGUUGUCAACUAAAUGAUUACGGAUUUUGUCAAUGCCACCUAUUGACAAAAUCCGCAAUUACUUAGUUGUUAGCCCAAUAUAUGCAUAUUACUCUGUUGCUUAAACAAUUAUCAGUUUCACUGUAAUUUCAGUAUGGUAUAUGGUUAACUGAAUUACAAUUCAAUUGAUCUAAUUAAAACACUAAAAUGGCUUGAUUAUAUAAAAUAAAUGCGAUAUUUUUUGCAAAA